rnacentral:rRNA from 1 species
UGGAGGAAAGCAGGGGAUCGUAAGACCUUGCGCUUUUGGAGCGGCCGAUGUCUGAUUAGCUAGUUGGUGGGGUAAUGGCCUACCAAAGCUUCGAUCAGUAGCUGGUCUGAGAGGACGGCCAGCCACACUGGGACUGAGACACGGCCCAGACUCCUACGGGAGGCAGCAGUGGGGAGUUUUGGACAAUGGGCGCAAGCCUGAUCCAGCCAUGCCGCGUGAGUGAAGAAGGCCUUCGGGUUGUAAAGCUCUUUCAGCCGGGAGAAAAGGCUGCGACUAAUAAUCGCAGUUCAUGACGGUACCGGAAGAAGAAGCACCGGCUAACUACGUGCCAGCAGCCGCGGUAAUACGUAGGGUGCGAGCGUUAAUCGGAAUUACUGGGCGUAAAGGGUGCGCAGGCGGUUUUGUAAGUCAGAUGUGA